GAUUUUCGUGAUCUUUACGUUCGUGUGAUUCGUAGCGAUACGUAGAAUCUUUUUAUAAACUUUUCAUACUGUUUUUAUAUGAUUGGUGUAAUGUUCUAAUCGUAGUCUUUGCAUCGUGUAUGUUGUCUCCGUUGUUUGUGUGUUGAUGAUCGAUGAUCGAGUUUAGUCGAUGAGCAAUUCGUGGUGAUCAAGAGUACUUCAGUGAUCAAGAUCAGAGCCUUGGACAACUAAUAAGACCAGCAGGAUCAGCAAGAGCAAAUGGAUUAAGGCAAGUAUAGUAAUUUGGAUUUUAUUUCUGUGAUCAUGAUCCUGUGACUAAAUUAAUGUUAAGUAAUAAAUGAUAAAAAUGACUUUUUAGCCACUUGAUGAUUUAUCUGUAAGUGAUAACCGGGACAACAGUGCAACCAUGAGGGCUAUAAUGGCUCUGGCUUUAGCUCAGUAUGAAGACCUUUUCUAGCUUGUUAGAGGUUACCCGAAAGGUCGGAGGGGCUGAACCGACACGGGUAUAGUGCGAGCCCCUGUCCCUAUGUGUAUAGGCUGCGCGUCAUUGUGCCAUUCGGAAGGGGGGUAUCUAUAUCUGCUCGCAAAGAAAACCUUGCGGCCCUAACAUGUUAGACGAACUUUUGAAAGGCUUCAUAGUGAUCCCUGCCGACCUUCCUUGGAAGUGGGUUAAGAGGCUGAUCACCUCGGGCGAAAGGGUAAAUCAUGACUCAUGGGUAAAGAUGUGCAACCUCUGCAGAGGGUUAAAAACUAGUAUACUAGCCGAGCUCACGGUCAGGAGCGGCCUUGGGGAUUCUUGCUGCGACGAUGAUGAUUCUUGUGUGUUAAUAUACUCAUUAUUUAUUAUUUAAUGCUUUACAUUAUUUAUGUCACAUUGAUCAUGAGAUUGUGGGAUCUAUACAAUCUAGUUGCUAUACUUGUGGAGUUCGACAUGGACUCACUCUUGCUAUUUCCCCCAAACCUCAGGAGAAGUUAGGCUUGUGAUCAACCAGUCAGUUGGAUCCUGUAGAGAGAAGUUAAUACCCAGAGUUUGGAGUUGUCGAUCCGCUGUUUGCUUUUAAAGGUUAUCUCUGAUUUACUAAGUACGUUAUAUAAUUUAUGCAUUGUAUUUUGAUAUUACCCCUUAUUUGUAGCUAUAUGUGAGAUUUGGCUUUUAAAACUCACAUAUGGUGUAUAUCUGGUUUUGUCCUUAAAAUCGGGUAUUACA
rnacentral:lncRNA from 1 species